CUUCAGUGCUGGCCAGCUCUCUGGCAAGUGCACGUUGGCGGCUUUUCAUCCAAUACCCUGUGCACCUUUGGCCUCUUGCUAGCCUUGGCCGGCAGAGGAAUUUUUACACCCACUCGAAUGUAAUGAAAUUAUUGUUGUGCGUAAGCACGAAUGUACAACUUUCAACAACGGAUCUCUUGGCUCUCGCAUCGAUGAAGAACGCAGCGAAAUGCGAUAAGUAAUGUGAAUUGCAGAAUUCAGUGAAUCAUCGAAUCUUUGAACGCACCUUGCACCCUUUGGUAUUCCGAAGGGUAUGCUCGUUUGAGUGUCAUUGUACUCUCACACUUCUGAUCCUUUGGAUUGGGAGCGGUGGACUUGGGUGCUGCUGCUUUACGGUGGCUCACCUCAAAUGCAUUCGUGCACCUCUUGGUUGGACAUAGUACGGCGUGAUAAGUGUCUUCGCCGGCACCUCUUGCGAGGGUGGCUGAUCAGGAGCUCUGUGCUUCCAACUGUCUUUCAGACAACAACUGACAACUUGACCUCAAAUCGAGUAGGACCACCCGCUGAACUUAAGCAUAUC
rnacentral:rRNA from 1 species